rnacentral:misc_RNA from 1 species
GAUGAAGAACGUAGCGAAAUGCGAUAAGUAAUGCGAAUUGCAGAAUUUCCGUGAGUCAUCGAAUCUUUGAACGCACAUUGCGCCCACUGGUAUUCCGGUGGGCAUGCCUGUUCGAGCGUCAUUAUCCUCCCUCAAACCCCGGGUUUGGUGUUGGACCCAAGUUGUGUGAACAACUGGUCUCAAAGACAAUGACGGCGUCCGUGGGACCCUCGGUGCAACGAGCUUUUAGGAGCACGCAUCGAGUUGCAAGGACCUUCCGGGCCGGUCUCCUUUACCAUUUUACAAGGUUGACCUCGGAUCAGGUAGGGAUACCCGCUGAACUUAAGCAUAUCAAUAAGCGGAGG